ACCCUCAAAACAUGGUUCCAACUAUAAUUGUGAUAUGAUGGAUGGUAAGUCCAUAUCUCUGUCUAUGAAUUUGAGAGCGGUUACAUGUCUCCAGCCCCAUCCCUCAGCCUUUUUGCGAAACAACUGCUGAUUUCCCCUUUAAAACCUGAAAACACAUUAAUUUAAUUGAGUUGUGGGAAUAAGAUAUAUGUUUAUCUUCAGACAACUUCAUCCUAAAAAUGUCUGACUACAUUGUGAAGAUCGAGGGAACUGGUCCCGAGGAGUCCGAGGCAUCCCCUGAGAAGUCCAGGGACCCGUCACCUGAGCCUGCUGUCCUGCCCAUGACAGAUGUGUCCUUCCCUGGAGCAAUGGAACACACGAAUGAGAUGCUUAGCACCUUGGAUCAAGUGAUGGACAGUCAAACACAAGAAAAUGGUGAACAAGUGGAAGCAACUGAAAGUCAGAGAAAGAGACUAAAGGGAAACCUAGGUUUGUCCUCUGUUGGGUGUUCACUUGGAUGUAUUCCAAGCUUUGACUCAGUGUCCCUUACAUCUACAGUCAACACAGAUAACAACUCAGGGGAGAGCUUAGAACAACUGCAGUACCAAGGGGCCCUGAGGGAGGAUACAUGUGAUGAGGUGGAGGUCAAGGUGCUAGAUAUCGACUUAUCUUCAUUCACCCUGAACCGGAUUUCCUUCUCCAGUAUUCUUCAGGAGGAGAACGACAGAGUGCUGGACAAGGACACUAUGGAUUGUCGCUCUCUCUCGAGAACAGUUCGCUUUGAAAGCAGCCCAAUUCCGGAGAGGAGUGGAAGCUUGAAGACGUAUUGCAGUAGUGUACGGUCGCCCACCCCGUACCAGUCAAGAUUAUCCCUUACCUCCACUGAGGCACAUGAUCAGGUUGCACACAGCUCAGGCACACAAGUGAGCCUCCAAAUCCUGAUGGACCCACUGGAGGAGCUUUUUGGUAUCACUCAGGAUAUGAUAUACACAGACGUCCAUGAUAGAGUGAUUGAAGUGUUGCAGGACAUCUACUCGGCGGCUAACCAGCUAGAGCAACAGCUAUUCCAGAGUGUCUCUGACAGGCAAGCUAGAGCCAUUGUAAAGGCCGUAGUGCAGCAGAUCAAUGCCUGCCUGUCCAGGGCUCUCCAACAAACCUGCUCGGGAUCACAAUUACUUACUAUAGUGGGAUCUGCCAAGCUCUAUAGCAAAGAUGGGUUGGCAGCGGUGGAGGGCCAAGGAGUUCCUUUGAUCACCUCGUCAGCAGAGGGAGACAGGGAUGGCAACAAGGAAGGAAGUAGACCGUUGAAACGUUGUUUUAACAGCUUUGUUCGUGUUUUGUCAGCAAAAAUGAGGAGUAUCUCCAAGGGGAUCAAACAGAGCAGCGAGAGUGCACAACAAGAGCACAGGCUAGUUGUUGAACUGCCAGCAUCAUCUGACGAGGGUACAGAGCAAGAGGCAGCAGAGAAAGCUGGAUCUAGUACAGUUUCUGAACCCGCUAGGGAGGAGAUCACAGAGGUCAGUGAAGUUCUUCAGUCGGAAUCUGAGGAUUCUCUACUUCCCUCCAUCGGGGGAAUGCUCUUCCACGUUGGAUCCAUGCCUCAUACAGAGGAUUCAGUGGAACUAUACGGCAAGGUCCCAUCAAAGUUAACACCAGAAAGUAUGGUGCAGGAAGAACGUGUUGAUGAAGGCUUGUCUAAGGUUUGUUCCAGGACAACUUCUUCAACCAGCACCACUUUCAGCAUGGACGAUGUCCAGAAGACUGUUGCUACUUUGACCACUUCUGGAAGUGACAGGGGUAGAAGCAUUAUCACUACCCCAGAAACGCCAGAGCAGAGUCUGCACCACCAGGGAGGUGGACUGGACAGCCCUGUCUCCUCAGAGAGAAGAGUGGCUGAAAGUGGCAGAAAGAGCCCUGCAACUUGGUCAGACGCAGAGGGAGUAAGUUAUGCAAAAAAGUCUGUGUCGGAGUUAAUGGAGAGGAUGGUGCUCAGCCGUGAGGAUGCAGCGUCAGCAGAGAAGAGCCUGGACAUCCUCCUCUCCUCUGGUAUUCUUCGUCCUCACACUGACAAGUUAGUCGACCAGCUGCGAAAACUUUUGAUGGUGAACAGCACACUUACAGCACAAUCUGUGUCUGGCAGGUCAAAAUCAGAAUCUGCUCUGCCCAAGUCCAGCAUGACAGGGGAACUCCAAAGGGAGAUCUCAAGGAACGGUUUGCUGGAGAUAGCAUAUACUAUCACCGAGAGAUCUAUAAAGACCCUUUUGGAGCAGCUGCUCACUGCCCUCCUCCCUCCAUCUGUAGUGGUUGAGGUUGCCAGGUCAUGUCAGAACAUCCGACCAGUCACUCCCUCUCAGGUGAUGAGUUCUGAAGUUAGCCCAGGGUGCUGCAACCCUCUGUCAAUGAUUUGCCGUGUGAUCAUAGAUGUCUUUACGAUCACAAGACAGGUGGUUGAGACAGCCAGUGAAAUGGAUAUGUCUCCCCCCGGAGAGAACAUUGAUGGAAGGCUUUGUAGCAACACAGCACCACUGCCCACUGAUUCAACCCCAUCUGUCCACCCGAUCAACCGUGAGUGCAACAGAUCUUUGGUGACCAAACCAACAAACAAAGUCAAGAGCUUGACAUUCUCAUUUCCUAAGCUCCCAAAGAUCAGUCUCAUAAAGAGCAAGAAAGUCAACCAAGGGGAUAUCGCUCCCCUUGAGACCACCAAGGAUCCUGCUGAUGUCGACUAUAGUAUAUUCUGCACUACUCCAACACCAGAGAAUGCACAACGACAAGAGGAAGAUCUGGCCUCCUGCUCCUCACAGAGGAAGGAAAGGCCAAAGAACCCAUUCUUUUUAAUCCGGGUAUACUCUGCCAAGUCUAGGCAUGAAAACAGCUAG
rnacentral:lncRNA from 13 species